UUCUCUUUUCCUUGGCAAGAUGGCGGAGUACGACUUGACUACUCGCAUCGCGCACUUUUUGGAUCGGCAUCUAGUCUUUCCGUUGCUUGAGUUUCUCUCCGUAAAAGAGAUAUAUAAUGAAAAAGAAUUGUUACAAGGGAAAUUGGAUCUUCUUAGUGAUACCAACAUGGUAGACUUUGCUAUGGAUGUAUACAAAAACCUUUAUUCUGAUGAUAUUCCUCAUGCUUUGAGAGAAAAAAGAACCACCGUUGUUGCACAACUGAAACAGCUUCAGGCAGAAACUGAACCUAUUGUGAAGAUGUUUGAAGAUCCAGAAACUACAAGGCAAAUGCAGUCAACCAGGGAUGGUCGGAUGCUGUUUGACUACCUCGCAGACAAGCAUGGUUUUAGGCAGGAAUAUUUAGAUACACUCUACAGGUAUGCAAAAUUCCAAUAUGAAUGUGGAAAUUACUCUGGAGCAGCAGAAUAUCUUUACUUCUUUAGAGUGUUGGUUCCAGCAACAGAUAGAAAUGCUUUGAGUUCACUCUGGGGAAAACUGGCCUCUGAAAUCUUAAUGCAGAAUUGGGAUGCAGCCAUGGAAGACCUUACACGGCUAAAAGAGACCAUAGAUAAUAAUUCUGUGAGUUCUCCACUUCAGUCUCUUCAGCAGCGAACAUGGCUCAUUCAUUGGUCUCUGUUUGUUUUCUUCAAUCACCCUAAAGGGCGUGAUAACAUUAUUGAUCUCUUCCUGUACCAGCCACAGUAUCUUAAUGCAAUUCAGACAAUGUGUCCACAUAUUCUCCGCUAUUUGACCACAGCAGUCAUAACAAACAAAGAUGUCCGAAAACGCCGGCAAGUGCUAAAAGAUCUGGUCAAAGUUAUUCAACAGGAGUCUUACACAUAUAAAGACCCAAUUACAGAGUUUGUUGAAUGCUUAUAUGUUAACUUUGACUUUGAUGGGGCUCAGAAAAAGCUAAGGGAAUGUGAAUCAGUGCUAGUGAAUGAUUUCUUCUUGGUGGCUUGUCUUGAGGAUUUCAUUGAAAAUGCCCGUCUCUUCAUAUUUGAGACUUUUUGUCGCAUCCAUCAAUGUAUCAGCAUUAACAUGUUGGCAGAUAAACUGAACAUGACUCCAGAAGAAGCUGAAAGGUGGAUUGUAAAUUUGAUUAGAAAUGCAAGACUGGAUGCCAAGAUUGAUUCUAAAUUAGGUCAUGUGGUUAUGGGUAACAAUGCAGUCUCACCCUAUCAGCAAGUGAUUGAAAAGACCAAAAGCCUUUCAUUUAGAAGCCAGAUGUUGGCCAUGAAUAUUGAGAAGAAACUUAAUCAGAACAGUAGAUCAGAGGCUCCUAACUGGGCAACUCAGGACUCUGGCUUCUACUGAAGAACUGUACAGAAAAAAUGAAAAAACUAUAAAAGAAAGGUGAAAUAAUAAAACCAUUAUACAAAGAUGUGUGAACAAAGGAAGAGGUACAGGUAUCCUCAAAAAUCCUGAAGCAUCUUGAAGAGGUCACUUGGGAAGAAACCUUUUUGUUCUAGUAUCACUGCUAACACUGGAGCAGUUGAAGCCCUAAAUCAGAUUUACCUCAGCAGUAGACGUCAGUAGUAAAAUACUGAGUAGUAACAACCGUCAGUAAGAGAAGUAACCAAGGUCAGGUCCAAAAUAUCUGCUAGAGUGAAAUGUUUAAAACUUCCAAUGAGUCUUUAAUUAGACUCUUAGAAAAUGGCCUGCUGUUAAACUGUUUUAAGUGUUUUCCAUGCAUAAUUUACUCCCAUGCAUUUUAAUUCUCUCAGAGAACAAGCCAUCCUCUGGAAAAGUGUUAACUUGCUGGAGAGGUAGCACAAACACUGUUAAGUUUUGUUAAUUUUUCAUCUCAUGUAUUUAAUAAACUGUUGAAUUAUUAGAAUCUGCAAGAAAUAACAUUAAUCUAAGGCAUCUCCUAUUUUGGUUCUAAAACUGAUUCUUGUGCUGACUUCCAUUUAGUCUACUGAGAUUGGGAGAACAAUGCCAGACUGAUUCAUUUAGUUUUUAAGUAUUGUGAGGACAAUUGAGGAGAAGUUGACAUUUUGAACUGGGAAACAGCAUGGGUACUUAGGCACAAUUCCAGGUAAAUAAACGAAAUAUUGCUUAUGUGCAUGUGUAAGUCUGAUGGCUUAAACGUAUACAUCGAAGAUUCCAUGUGGAUGUAGACAGCAGCUGUUUUGAGGACCCAGAGGUAUGGCUUAUGUGCACAAUGGCAUGGAAAAAGCAAUUGGAUCGCAGAAACACUUUUAUUUAAUCAGGACUUGAAAUCUGGUGCUCUUCUGAGGGAAUAAAAUAUAGUAUUGGAUUGCU